AGUGAACGCUGGCGGUAGGCCUAACACAUGCAAGUCGAACGGCAGCACAGGAGAGCUUGCUCUCUGGGUGGCGAGUGGCGGACGGGUGAGGAAUACAUCGGAAUCUACUCUGUCGUGGGGGAUAACGUAGGGAAACUUACGCUAAUACCGCAUACGACCUACGGGUGAAAGCAGGGGACCUUCGGGCCUUGCGCGAUUGAAUGAGCCGAGGUCGGAUUAGCUAGUUGGCGGGGUAAAGGCCCACCAAGGCGACGAGCCGUAGCUGGUCGGAGAGGAUGAUCAGCCACACUGGAACUGAGACACGGUCCAGACUCCUACGGGAGGCAGCAGUGGGGAAUAUUGGACAAUGGGCGCAAGCCUGAUCCAGCCAUACCGCGUGGGUGAAGAAGGCCUUCGGGUUGUAAAGCCCUUUUGUUGGGAAAGAAAUCCAGCUGGCUAAUACCCGGUUGGGAUGACGGUACCCAAAGAAUAAGCACCGGCUAACUUCGUGCCAGCCGCCGCAGUAA
rnacentral:rRNA from 1 species